ANNNUAGCCAUGCANNUCNAGNNNANCAUUAUACAGCGAAACUGCGAAUGGCUCAUUAUAUAAGUUAUCGUUUAUUUGAUAGUACCUUACUACUUGGAUAACCGUGGUAAUUCUAGAGCUAAUACAUGCUAAAAAUCCCGACUUCGGAAGGGAUGUAUUUAUUAGAUUAAAAACCAAUGCCCUUCGGGGCUCCUUGGUGAUUCAUGAUAACUUCUCGAAUCGCAUGGCCUUGUGCCGGCGAUGGUUCAUUCAAAUUUCUUCCCUAUCAACUUUCGAUGUUUGGGUAUUGGCCAAACAUGGUUGCAACGGGUAACGGAGGGUUAGGGCUCGACCCCGGAGAAGGAGCCUGAGAAACGGCUACUACAUCCAAGGAAGGCAGCAGGCGCGCAAAUUACCCAAUCCCGACACGGGGAGGUAGUGACAAUAAAUACUGAUACAGGGCUCUUUAGGGUCUUGUAAUUGGAAUGAGUACAAUUUAAAUCUCUUAACGAGGAACAAUUGGAGGGCAAGUCUGGUGCCAGCAGCCGCGGUAAUUCCAGCUCCAAUAGCGUAUAUUAAAGUUGUUGUGGUUAAAAAGCUCGUAGUUGAACCUUGGGCCUGGCUGGCCGGUCCGCCUCACCGCGUGUACUGGUCCGGCCGGGCCUUUCCCUCUGUGGAACCUCAUGCCCUUCACUGGGUGUGGCGGGGAAACAGGACUUUUACUUUGAAAAAAUUAGAGUGCUCCAGGCAGGCCUAUGCUCGAAUACAUUAGCAUGGAAUAAUAGAAUAGGACGUGUGGUUCUAUUUUGUUGGUUUCUAGGACCGCCGUAAUGAUUAAUAGGGACAGUCGGGGGCAUCAGUAUUCAAUUGUCAGAGGUGAAAUUCUUGGAUUUAUUGAAGACUAACUACUGCGAAAGCAUUUGCCAAGGAUGUUUUCAUUAAUCAGGAACGAAAGUUAGGGGAUCGAAGACGAUCAGAUACCGUCGUAGUCUUAACCAUAAACUAUGCCGACUAGGGAUCGGACGGUGUUAUUUUUUGACCCGUUCGGCACCUUACGAGAAAUCAAAGUGCUGGCUCCACNNGGGGNNNNNNNGNNNNNNNNNNGA
rnacentral:rRNA from 1 species